AAUAGAUACCCCGGUAGUCCUAGCCGUAAACGAUGAGCACUUGAUUGAGGGCCCCCCCAUAGGCUCUCGAUCGCAGCGAAAGUGUUAAGUGCUCCGCCUGGGGAGUAUGGUCGCAAGGCCGAAACUCAAAGGAAUUGACGGGGGCUCACACAAGCGGUGGAGGAUGUGGCUUAAUUCGAGGCUACGCGAAGAACCUUAUCCAGGCCUUGACAUGUACGGAUGCUGCCCGUGAAAGCGGGUUAGUUGCCUUCGGGUGAAACGUGCACAGGUGCUGCAUGGCUGUCGUCAGCUCGUGUCGUGAGAUGUCGGGUUAAGUCCCUUAACGAGCGAAACCCUUGUCCUUAGUUGCCAGCGAGUCAUGUCGGGGACUCUAAGGAGACUGCCGGCGUUAAGCCGGAGGAAGGUGGGGAUGACGUCAAGUCCUCAUGGCCUUUAUGGUCUGGGCUGCACACGUCCUACAAUGGCGUAUACAAAGGGAUGCUACCUCGCGAGAGCAAGCAAAUCCCAAAAAGUACGCCCCAGUUCGGAUUGCG
rnacentral:rRNA from 1 species